AAACAAAUGGUGUAGUUGGUCACCACUUCUGUCCCGCACGAACCGGCAGAAGGUCCCAGUUCGAUUCUGGGUUAAUUAC